GAAAAAAAAAAGAAAAAAAAAAGAGAAAAAAAAAAUAGUAGUAAAUAAAUUCACCAAAAAAAUAAGUGGUAGAAUUAACUAGGUUGAGCUCAUUAGUACUCGAGUAAUUAAGUCUGAGGGGACUUUGUGCCUAACAACCUAAAGCCCUUUGUGGUUUGGGAUUGUUGACCCAACACUCGCUACAUGGGUACUAGUGCAUAAAGGGAUUUUUGACCCAACACUCGCUACAUAGGUACUAGUGCAUAAAUCUUUAGGGAUCUCAACCAUUGCAC
rnacentral:lncRNA from 1 species